UUUGUGUAUCAGUUGGGUUAUAAACUGCGUUACAUAGCGCUGUUACUUCAAUUCGGUGCACAUAGUUUUCAGUUUGGUCUCAGGCAUACAUUAAUUCUUCCCAAAAGUAGAGAAAGGAAGGGAAAGGUUGCUUGUCCCCCUGGAUAUGAUCUGAUUGUGUUCUGUUGUUUGUCUGUCAUCUUAGGAUGUAGCCGUGAUAUCAUCAACAAUUCGGGUCAAUUCAACCUCGCCAUUCCCAAGUAUAGUAAAGAUGGUAUUAUAUAAUUAUAAGCAAUAAAAUAUAUCAAAGCUA